rnacentral:rRNA from 1 species
AGUGAACGCUGGCGGUAGGCCUAACACAUGCAAGUCGAACGGCAGCCCAGUAAGAGCUUGCUCUUACGGGUGGCGAGUGGCGGGCGGGUGAGGAAUACAUCGGAAUCUACUUUUUCGUGGGGGAUAACGUAGGGAAACUUACGCUAAUACCGCUUACGACCUACGGGUGAAAGCAGGGGAUCUUCGGACCUUGCGCGAUUGAAUGAGCCGAUGUCGGAUUAGCUAGUUGGCGGGGUAAAGGCCCACCAAGGCGACGAUCCGUAGCUGGUCUGAGAGGAUGAUCAGCCACACUGGAACUGAGACACGGUACAGACUCCUACGGAAGGCAGCAGUGGGGAAUAGUGGACAAUGGGCGCAAGCCUGAUCCAGCCAUACCGCGUGGGUGAAGAAGGCCUUCGGGUUGUAAAGCCCUUUUGUUGGGAAAGAAAAGCAGCAGGUUAAUACCCCGCUGUUCUGACGGUACCCAAAGAAUAAGCACCGGCUAACUUCGUG